UGGGGAAUAUUGCACAAUGGGCGAAAGCCUGAUGCAGCAACGCCGCGUGAGUGAUGAAGGUCUUCGGAUUGUAAAGCUCUGUCUUUUGGGACGAUAAUGACGGUACCAAAGGAGGAAGCCACGGCUAACUACGUGCCAGCAGCCGCGGUAAUACGUAGGUGGCGAGCGUUGUCCGGAUUUACUGGGCGUAAAGGGUGCGUAGGCGGAUGUUUAAGUGAGAUGUGAAAUACCCGGGCUUAACUUGGGUGCUGCAUUUCAAACUGGAUAUCUAGAGUGCAGGAGAGGAGAAUGGAAUUCCUAGUGUAGCGGUGAAAUGCGUAGAGAUUAGGAAGAACACCAGUGGCGAAGGCGAUUCUCUGGACUGUAACUGACGCUGAGGCACGAAAGCGUGGGUAGCAAACAGGAUUAGAUACCCUGGUAGUCCACGCCGUAAACGAUGAGUACUAGGUGUAGGAGGUAUCGACCCCUUCUGUGCC
rnacentral:rRNA from 1 species